rnacentral:rRNA from 1 species
UACGUAGGGUGCAAGCGUUGUCCGGAAUUAUUGGGCGUAAAGAGCUCGUAGGUGGCGGGUCACGUCGGGUGUGAAAGCCCGGGGCUUAACUCCGGGUCUGCAUUCGAUACGGGUCUGCUGGGGUCCGGCAGGGGAGACUGGAAUUCCUGGUGUAGCGGUGAAAUGCGCAGAUAUCAGGAGGAACACCGGUGGCGAAGGCGGGUCUCUGGGCAGUAACUGACGCUGAGGAGCGAAAGCGUGGGGAGCGAACAGG